CGGCGGCGGCGGCGGCAGAAGCGGGCGGACCUGCGGGGCGGCGGCUUCAGACCCCGAGGGAUCCGAAGGCCUUAGCGGCAGCUGCGGCAGGACCUCUCCCCUUCGGAGGCGGCGGCCGGGGGCGGCGGCGGCGGGAGCGGUGGUGCCCCCCUGGGCACAGGGCCAUGUACAACGGGAUCGGGCUGCCGACGCCCCGGGGCAGCGGCACCAACGGCUACGUCCAGCGCAACUUGUCCCUGGUGCGGGGCCGCCGUGGUGAGCGGCCUGACUACAAGGGAGAGGAGGAACUGCGGCGCCUGGAGGCUGCCUUGGUGAAGCGGCCUAAUCCUGACAUCCUGGACCACGAGCGCAAGCGGCGCGUGGAGCUGCGAUGCCUCGAGCUGGAGGAGAUGAUGGAAGAGCAGGGGUACGAGGAACAGCAGAUUCAGGAGAAAGUGGCGACUUUCCGACUCAUGUUGCUGGAGAAGGAUGUGAACCCUGGGGGCAAGGAAGAAACCCCAGGGCAGAGGCCAAUGGUAACUGAAACUCAUCAGUUGGCAGAACUGAAUGAGAAGAAGAAUGAGAGACUCCGUGCUGCCUUUGGCAUCAGUGAUUCCUAUGUGGAUGGCAGUUCUUUUGAUCCUCAGAGACGUGCUCGAGAAGCUAAGCAAGCAGUUCCUGAGCCCCCCAAACCAUACAGCCUUGUUCGAGAUACGAGCAGUUCUCGAUCACCAACUCCAAAGCAAAAGAAGAAGAAAAAGAAGAAAGAUAGAGGACGGAGAUCAGAGAGCAGUUCUCCUCGACGUGAGAGGAAGAAGAGCUCAAAGAAGAAGAAACACAGAUCAGAAUCUGAAUCCAAGAAAAGGAAACACAGGUCUCCUACUCCAAAGAGCAAACGUAAAUCAAAGGACAAGAAGAGGAAGCGGUCUCGAAGUACAACACCAGCUCCUAAGAGCCGCCGAGCCCAUCGGUCAACUUCUGCUGACUCUGCUUCUUCCUCUGAUACUUCUCGUAGUCGGUCUCGAAGUGCUGCUGCUAAAAUUCAUACAACGGCCUUGACUGGGCAAAGUCCCCUUGCUUCAGGGCAUCAAGGGGAGGGAGAUGCACCUUCUAGUGAACCAGGUGCCACCAACAUACAGCAGCCUAGUAGCCCAGACCCUUCCACAAAGCAGUCUAGCAGUCUGUUUGAAGACAAAGAUAAGAAGGAGAAAUCUGCAGUUCGACCUAGUCCCUCUCCGGAAAGGAGCAGCACAGGGCCAGAACUACCUGCCCCUACUCCGCUCCUUGUUGAGCAGCAUGACGACUCCCCACGACCCCUUGCAGCAAUCCCAUCCAGUCAGGAGCCAGUUAACCCCUCAUCUGAGGCCUCCCCAACCCGGGGUUGUUCACCACCUAAAUCUCCUGAGAAACCUCCCCAAUCGUCUUCCUCAGAGAGCUGUCCACCAUCCCCUCAGCCUACCAAAGUUUCUCGGCAUGCCAGCUCCUCUCCUGAAAGUCUUAAACCUACUCCAGCUCCUGGGGCCCGCCGAGAGAUUUCUUCUUCACCCACAUCUAAGAAUCGUUCACAUGGUCGAGCAAAGCGGGAUAAAUCUCAUUCUCAUACCCCAUCUCAUAAAGCGGGGAGAUCCCGUAGUCCUGCCACUAAGAGAGGACGAUCUCGAUCUAGAACCCCCACCAAGAGAGGUCAUUCUAGAUCCCGUUCCCCUCAGUGGCGUAGGUCACGGUCUGCACAGAGGUGGGGAAAAUCUAGAAGCCCCCAGAGGCGUGGCCGGUCUAGAUCUCCUCAGAGGCCAGGCUGGUCCAGGAGUAGAAAUACCCAGAGAAGAGGCAGGUCUAGGUCAGCAAGGCGAGGCAGGUCACACUCUAGAUCUCCAGCCACUAGGGGCAGAUCGCGUUCUAGGACACCAGUUAGAAGGGGUAGGUCUCGUUCUAGAACACCUGCUAGACGCAGAUCACGAUCCAGAACACCUGCCAGGCGUAGGUCUCGGUCUAGAACACCAACUCGCCGGGGCAGAUCUCGGUCUAGAACACCUGCUAGGCGUAGAUCUAGGACCCGAUCACCAGUUCGAAGGAGGUCCCGAAGUAGAUCCCCAGCCAGGAGAAGUGGCAGGUCACAUUCUAGAACACCAGCCAGGAGAAGUGGCAGGUCGCGCUCUAGAACACCAGCCAGGAGAAGUGGCAGGUCGCGCUCUAGAACACCAGCCAGGAGAAGUGGCAGGUCACGCUCUAGAACACCAGCCAGGAGAAGUGGCAGGUCACGCUCUAGAACACCAGCACGACGAAGAUCUCGCAGCAGAAGUCUAGGAAGACGUGGAAGAUCUCACUCUAGAACACCACAAAGAAGAGGACGAUCUGGCUCAUCAUCAGACAGGAAGAACAAAUCUAGAACAUCUCAGAGGAGGAGCAGAUCUAACUCAAGCCUGGAAAUGAAAAAAUCUCACAUUUCCUCAAGACGGAGCAGGUCUCUUUCUUCACCAAGAUCCAAAGCAAAAUCUUUGAGGCGAAGUCUUUCAGGUUCCUCUCCAUGUCCUAAACAAAAGUCUCAGACACCACCAAGGAGAAGCCGUUCUGGUUCUUCGCCACCUAAACAGAAGUCAAAAACAUCACCAAGACUGAGUCAUUCAAGUUCAUCUCCUCAGCCCAAAGUAAAGUCUGGAACACCACCAAGAUCAGGGUCUGUAACAAACAUACACGUCGAUGAACACUCUGCAACACCACAAAGACAGAGCCGUUCAGAAUCAUCACCUGAUGAUGAGGUGAAAUCCAGGACCCCUUCAAGACAAAGCUGCUCUGGGUCUUCUCCUCGAGUGAAAUCUAGCACACCUCUAAGGCAGAGCCCAUGUAGGUCAUCAUCUCCACAACCCAAAAUGAAGACAGUAGUAUCACCAAGACGAAGCCAUUCUGGCUCCUCUUCUCCAAGUCCUUCUAGAGUGACAUCUGGAACGCCUCAGAGGCAAAGCAGAUCAGUGUCUCCCUGCUCCAAGAUGGAUUCUGGAUUGUUGCCAAGACGUAGUCGCUCUAGAUCCUCCUCACCAGAUACUAAAGUGGAGCCAGGAACACCACUGAGACACAGUCACUCAGGGUCUGCAUCACCAUACCCAAAAAGCAUGCUCCAGACUCCUCCAGAGCAAAAUUUCUCUGCAUCAAAGUCACCCUGUCCCCAGGAGAAGUCUAAAGAUUCACCAACAGAAAGUUCUGGAUCCUUUUCCCUCUGUCCAGGUGUAACACUUAGUACAUUACCAGGAGAGAGCUGUUUUGGCUCUUCAUUUGUGCAGCAGAAAGGACAGUCUCAAAUUUGGCCAGAUCCCAGGUCUGAUACUUCAAGUCCAGAAAUGAGGCAGGCUCAGACAUCUCCUAAGGGUGGCCCUUCCAGAUCUUCAUCUCCAGUCACUGAGCUGGUCCUCAGAUCACCAGUUAAACAAGAUAAAUGUGAAUUACCAACAGAUCCAAAGCUGCAAUCAGGAUUGUCUCCUGAGCAGAGUAAGACUAAACCUGACUCUAACCUAUAUCCUUCAAUAGAGUCUAAAUCUCUUUUGCUACAGAGCAGAUUGGAGCCUUCUGAAUUGAAAGAGAAACUAGGGUUAAUUCAAGAGGAUGUUACUGUACCAUCAUCUUUACCUAUACAAGAUAGGCCUGAAUCCUCUACAGUACUGAAAGACACACCUAGAGUACUAUUAAAGGAAAGAAGUGGUGCUGGGUCACCUCCAGCUACAAGAGACCAACAUAGUUUAUUACCUAAUUCAAGCCAAGAAGAAUUAAUGGAAGAAAAAUCUGAGCAACCUUUAAGUCAAGUUCUACACAGUUUAUCUCCAGAACAUAAAGAAAUGCCUGGAAGUAACAUUGAGUCAUCUCCUGAAAUAGAAAGGCCUGCUGUAUUGUCUGCUCUUGACCAAAGCCAGGCACAGCCCUCUUCUAAAGCAGCAGAAAUCCCUGCAGUGGCUUCAUGUUGGGGUGGACUACAAAUAUCUCCAGAACAUAAAGAACUAUCUCAUUCUCCCCCUGGGGAGAAUAGCUUUGAGUCAUCUUUAGAGUUUAGAAACUCAGGCCCUAUUUCAGAAGUAAAUGCUGGAUUUUCUCCUGAAGUUAAAGAAGAAUUGAAUGGUCCAUUCCUUAAUCAAGCAGAGACCGAUCCCUCUCUGGACAUGAAAGAACAAUCAGCGAUGUCCUCCAGGCGCAGCAGUUCUGAGUUAUCUCCAGAAGUAGUGGAAAAAGUAGGAAUAUUUUCAAAUCAGAGUGUGUCUUCUCCUACACUUGAGACUGUACACAGAACACCUUCAAGAGAAAGAAGUAGUUCUGCAUCUUCACCUGAACUGAAAGAUGGUUUGCCCAGAACUCCAUCUAGGAGAAGCCGGUCUGGGUCUUCUCCAGGACUUAGAGAUGGGUCUGGGAGUCCUUCUAGGCGUAGCUUAUCCGGUUCGUCUCCUGGGAUCAAAGAUACACCUCAAACCCCAUCCAGGGGACAAAGUGAAUGUGACUCUUCACCUGAAUCAAAAGCAUUGCCUCAGACUCCAAGAGCACAAAGCCCUCCAUCAUCCCCAGAGCUCAACAACAAAAGUGCCACCCCUCAGAGAGAAAGAAGUGGGUCAGAAUCCUCAGUAGAACAGAAAACUGGAGCUAGAACCUCUCCUGGGCAAAGAAGUCGAUCUGGGUCUUCCCAAGAGAUUGAUGGAAAACCGAGUGCAUCACCUCAGGAAAGAAGUGAAUCAGACUCUUCUCCAGAUUCUAAACCUAAGACUCGAACCCCUCUUAGACAGAGGAGUCACUCUGGAUCAUCUCCAGAGGUUGACAGCAAAUCUCGACCCUCUCCCCGGCUCAGUAGGUCUGGUUCAUCUCCUGAAAUGAAAGAUAAGCCAAGAGGGCUGCAGAGGGCUCAGAGUGGUACUGAUUCUUCUCCUGAACACAAAAUACCUGCCUCUAGGGCCCUGCCCAGACGUAGUAGGUCAGGUUCGUCAAGCAAAGACAGAGGCCCGUCACCUGAAGGAAGCAGUAGUUCUGAGUCUUCUCCAGAACAUCCACCCAAAUCCAGAACUGCUCGAAGAGGCUCUAGGUCCUCAAUGGAACCAAAGACAAAGUCUCGCACACCACCUAGACGUCGGAGUUCUCGAUCAUCUCCCGAGCUAACCAGGAAGGCUAGAGCCUCUCGAAGAAGCCGCUCUGCCUCCUCAUCACCAGAAACCCGCUCCAGAACUCCACCAAGACGUCGAAGAAGUCCUUCAGUAUCUUCGCCAGAGCCAACCGAAAAGUCAAGGUCUUCACGGAGGCGUCGCUCAGCUUCAUCAUCCCGUACCAAGACAACUUCAAGGAGAGGCCGAUCUCCUUCACCAAAACCUCGUGGACUCCAGAGGUCCCGAUCCCGCUCACGUAGAGAGAAAACCAGAACAACCCGACGCCGAGAUCGGUCUGGAUCAUCUCAGUCAACAUCAAGACGACGCCAGAGGAGCCGGUCUAGGUCUCGUGUCACUCGUAGGCGGAGGGGUGGCUCUGGUUACCAUUCAAGAUCACCUACCAGACAGGAGAGUUCCCGAACUUCAUCUAGACGCAGAAGAGGCCGAUCUCGGACACCUUUGACCAGUCGGAAGCGAUCUCGAUCACGUACAUCACCAGCCCCGUGGAAGCGCUCUAGAUCUCGAGCCUCACCAGCUACUCAUCGGCGAUCCAGGUCCAGAACACCCCUGAUCAGCCGACGCAGGUCCAGAUCUCGGACCUCGCCUGUGAGUAGGAGACGGUCAAGGUCAGUGAAUAGGCGUAGAUCUCGAUCAAGAGCAUCCCCAGUGAGUCGUAGGCGAUCCAGGUCCAGAACACCUCCAGUAACUCGCCGUCGUUCAAGGUCCAGAACACCAACAACACGCCGUCGCUCUCGUUCUAGGACUCCUCCAGUGACUCGCAGAAGGUCCAGAUCUAGGACUCCACCAGUAACCCGGAGGCGAUCUCGAAGCAGAACUUCACCAAUUACUCGAAGAAGAUCCAGAUCCAGGACGUCCCCAGUCACACGUAGAAGAUCUCGAUCUCGCACAUCUCCAGUCACCCGGAGGCGCUCUCGUUCUCGAACCUCUCCAGUGACACGCCGGCGCUCCAGGUCCCGAACUCCUCCAGUUAUUCGUAGACGUUCCAGGUCUCGGACACCACUGUUGCCACGCAAACGCUCUCGAAGUCGCUCACCACUUGCUAUCCGUCGCCGUUCUAGGUCUCGUACUCCUAGAGCAACUCGAGGCAAGCGGUCCAUAACAAGAUCUCCUCCAGCCAUCCGUAGGCGGUCUGCUUCUGGAAGUAGUUCUGAUCGGUCACGUUCUGCCACUCCUCCAGCAACAAGGAAUCAUUCUGGAUCUCGUACGCCUCCUGUAGCACUCAGUAGCUCUAGAAUGAGUUGCUUCAGUCGUCCUAGCAUGUCACCAACUCCUCUUGAUCGAUGUAGAUCACCUGGAAUGCUUGAACCUCUUGGAAGUGCUAGAACACCCAUGUCUGUGCUACAGCAAACUGGUGGCUCCAUGAUGGAUGGUCCAGGUCCCCGGAUUCCUGAUCAUCCAAGAACAUCUGUUCCAGAAAACCAUGCUCAGUCUAGAAUUGCACUUGCUCUGACAGCUAUCAGUCUUGGCACUGCCCGGCCACCUCCAUCUAUGUCUGCUGCUGGUCUUGCUGCAAGAAUGUCCCAGGUUCCAGCUCCUGUACCUCUCAUGAGCCUCAGAACAGCCCCAGCUGCAAACCUUGCUAGCAGGAUUCCAGCAGCAUCUGCAGCAGCCAUGAACCUUGCCAGUGCCAGGACAUCUGCUAUUCCGGCAUCAGUGAACCUUGCUGACUCAAGAACACCAGCUGCGGCAGCAGCUAUGAACUUGGCUAGCCCUAGAACAGCAGUGGCUCCUUCAGCUGUGAAUCUUGCUGAUCCUAGAGCCCCUGCAGCUACAGCUGUGAACCUAGCAGGAGCUAGAACACCAGCUGCGUUGGCAGCUUUGAGUCUCACAGGCUCUGGGACACCCCCGACUGCUGCAAAUUAUCCCUCCAGUUCCAGAACACCCCAGGCUCCUACUCCUGCAAACCUGGUGGGUCCUCGAUCUGCACAUGGCACAGCUCCUGUGAAUAUUGGUGGCUCUAGAACCUCUGCAGCCUUGGCUCCCUCAAAUCUCUCCAGUGCCAGGAUGGCUCCAGCAUUGUCUGGUGCAAAUCUCACCAGCCCCAGGGUGCCCCUUUCUGCUUAUGAGCGUGUCAGUGGCAGAACCUCACCAUUAUUGCUUGACCGAGCCAGAUCCAGAACACCACCAUCUGCCCCAAGCCAGUCUAGAAUGACCUCUGAGCGGGCUCCUUCCCCUGCUUCAAGAAUGGUCCAGGCUCCUUCACAAUCUCUUCUCCCUCCAGCACAGGAUAGGCCUCGGUCCCCUGUGCCAUCUGCUUUUUCAGACCAAUCUCGUUCAAUUGCCCAGACCACUCCUGUAGCUGGGUCUCAGUCCCUUUCAUCUGGGACUGUAGCAAAGUCCACAUCCUCUGCUAGUGACCACAAUGGCAUGCUUUCUGGCCCUACCCCUGGGGCGC